rnacentral:rRNA from 1 species
CGGCGUGCCUAAUACAUGCAAGUCGAACGGUCUUUCUAUGGAAGGCUUGCUUCCACUGAGAAGAUAGUGGCGAACGGGUGAGUAACACGUGGGUAACCUGCCCAUAAGAGGGGGGAUAACAUCCGGAAACGGGUGCUAAUACCGCAUAGUUUUCUUGAUCGCAUGAUCGGGAAAGGAAAGACGGCCUUUGUGCUGUCGCUUAUGGAUGGACCCGCGGCGUAUUAGUUAGUUGGUGAGGUAACGGCUCACCAAGGCGAUGAUACGUAGCCGACCUGAGAGGGUGAUCGGCCACAUUGGGACUGAGACACGGCCCAAACUCCUACGGGAGGCAGCAGCAGGGAAUCUUCCGCAAUGGACGAAAGUCUGACGGAGCAACGCCGCGUGAGUGAAGAAAGGGUUUUCGGAUCGUAAAACUCUGUUGUCAGAGAAGAACAAGUUGGAGAGUAACUGCUCCAGCCUUGACGGUAUCUGACCAGAAAGCCACGGCUAACUACGUGCCAGCAGCGGC